rnacentral:tRNA from 1 species
GCAGUCGUGGCCGAGCGGUUAAGGCGAUGGACUAGAAAUCUAUUGGUGGUCUCCCCACACAGGUUCUAGUCCUGUCGACUGCG